GAUGAAGAACGCAGUGAAAUGCGAUAAGUAAUGUGAAUUGCAGAAUUCAGUGAAUCAUCGAAUCUUUGAACGCACAUUGCGCCCGCUAGUAUUCUGGCGGGCAUGCCUGUCCGAGCGUCAUUUCAACCCUCAAGCCCCCGGGCUUGGUGUUGGGGAUCGGCGAGCCUCCGCGCCCGCCGUCCCCUAAAUCUAGUGGCGGUCUCGCUGUAGCUUCCUCUGCGUAGUAGCACACCUCGCACUGGGAAACAGCGCGGCCACGCCGUUAACCCCCAACUUCUGAACGUUUGACCUCGGAUCAGGUAGGAAUACCCGCUGAACUUAAGCAUAUCAAUAAGCGGAGGA
rnacentral:misc_RNA from 1 species